rnacentral:rRNA from 1 species
GACGAACGCUGGCGGCGUGCUUAACACAUGCAAGUCGAACGGUGAAGGGACCGGUUUUUGCUGGUUCUGGAUGAGUGGCGAACGGGUGAGUAACACGUGAGUAACCUGCCCCCUUCUUCUGGAUAACCGCAUGAAAGUGUGGCUAAUACGGGAUAUUCUGCGCCUGCUGCAUGGUGGGUGUGGGAAAGAUAUUGUUUCGGUGGGGGAUGGGCUCGCGGCCUAUCAGCUUGUUGGUGGGGUGAUGGCCUACCAAGGCGGUGACGGGUAGCCGGCCUGAGAGGGUGGACGGUCACACUGGGACUGAGACACGGCCCAGACUCCUACGGGAGGCAGCAGUGGGGAAUAUUGCACAAUGGGCGCAAGCCUGAUGCAGCGACGCCGCGUGAGGGAUGGAGGCCUUCGGGUUGUAAACCUCUUUCGCCAGUGAAGCAGGCCUGUCCCUUUUGUGGGUGGGCUGACGGUAGCUGGAGAAGAAGCGCCGGCUAACUACGUG